rnacentral:rRNA from 1 species
GAUGAACGCUGGCGGCGUGCCUAAUACAUGCAAGUCGAGCGACGCGGGGACGGGGGAGUAAAACGUGUGGAACCUCCUAUAAGGCUGGGGUAACUUAGGGAAACCGUAGCUAAAACGGAAUCUUAUCGCUGGUUCCGUGCUGCAUUAGCUGGUUGGUAAGGUAACGGCUUACCAAGGCCACGAUGCAUAGCCGACCUGAGAGGGUGAUCGGCCACACUGGAACUGAGACACGGUCCAGACUCCUACGGGAGGCAGCAGUAGGGAAUCUUCCGCAAUGGGCGAAAGCCUGACGGAGCAACGCCGCGUGAGUGAUGAAGGCCUUCGGAUCGUAAAACUCUGUUAUUAGGGAAGCGGUACCUAAUCAGAAAGCCACGGCUAACUCCGUGCCAGCCGCCGCGGUAAUUC